GUUGUAAAGCUCUUUCAGCCGAACGGCAGGGAUCACCGCUAAUCAUCACGAUCACUGACGGUACCGAUAGCAGAAGCACCGGCUAACUACGUGCCAGCAGCCGCGGUAAUACGUAGGGUGCUAGCGUUGAUCGGAAUUACUGGGCGUAAAGCGUGCGCAGGCGGUUUGGUCAGUCAGAUGUGAAAUCCCCGGGCUUAACCUGGGCACUGCGUUUGAGACUACAAGACUAGAGCGUAGCAGAGGGAGGUGGCAUUUCACGUGUAGCAGUGCAAUGCGUAGAGAUAUGGAAGCACACCGAUGGCGAAGGCAGCCUCCUGGGUUAACACUGACGCUCAUGCACGAAAGCGUGGGGAGCAAACAGGAUUAGAUACCCUGGUAGUCCACGCCCUAAACUAUGUCAACUAGUUGUCGGGCUUUAAAAAGCUUGGUAACGCAGCUAACGCGUGAAGUUGACCGCCUGGGGAGUACGGUCGCAAGAUUAAAACUCAAAGGAAUUGACGGGGACCCGCACAAGCGGUGGAUUAUGUGGAUUUAUUCGAUGCAACGCGAAAAACCUUACCUACCCUUGACAUGUACCGAAGCCCGCCGAGAGGUGGGUGUGCCCGAAAGGGAGCGGUAACACAGGUGCUGCAUGGCUGUCGUCAGCUCGUGUCGU
rnacentral:rRNA from 1 species